AUUGAACGCUGGCGGAAUGCUUUACACAUGCAAGUCGAGCGGCAGCACGGGGGCAACCCUGGUGGCGAGCGGCGAACGGGUGAGUAAUACAUCGGAACAUGCCCAGUCGUGGGGGAUAACACUUCGAAAGAAGUGCUAAUACCGCAUACGUCCUGAGGGGGAAAGCGGGGGAUCGCAAGACCUCGCGCGAUUGGAGUGGCCGAUGUCAGAUUAGCUAGUUGGUGGGGUAAAGGCCUACCAAGGCAACGAUCUGUAGCUGGUCUGGGAGGAUGAUCAGCCACACUGGGACUGAGACACGGCCCAGACUCCUACGGGAGGCAGCAGUGGGGAAUUUUGGACAAUGGGGGCAACCCUGAUCCAGCCAUUCCGCGUGAGCGAAGAAGGCCUUCGGGUUGUAAAGCUCUUUCGGCAGGAACGAAACGGUGAGCUCUAACAUAGCUUGCUAAUGACGGUACCUGAAGAAGAAGCACCGGCUAACUACGUG
rnacentral:rRNA from 1 species